AGAUGGCAGAGAAUAACUGUAGUGACUAAGCUUCCAGGCACAGCACGGACGUCCUGAAAAGCAGCAACCCUGAAGGUCAUGCAGAGUACUGGCCUGAGAAAAGUCUUUGGUUUGAGUCCUGAUUUUAUCACUUACUAGCUUCGGUACCUUGGGGAAGUCACUGAGCUUGUUUCCUCACAGAAAAGUUCCUGCCACCUCACAGGGCUUGCUCUAAGGAUUAAAUAAGAUUGACAGCAAUCUACUGACCCCACUUCGAGCAACACUGGCCUCGGAAGUAUGUUUACUGCAUAUAUAUGUAUGUGUGUAUGUAUAUAUGUUUAUUUCAUUUCUAUGUAUACCUAUAUUUUUAUUUCAU